rnacentral:misc_RNA from 1 species
GCAACUAGUACUUCAUGCAGAGUAAACUCAACCAUUUCCAGAUCCAAGUAACCUUCAACAACGCUAUCAAGAUCCGAGUCAUCAAGAAUUUUGCCAAGUUGAUGCUGACAUUGGGCACUAGUUUGCAGAAGCUGCUUUUGUUCUUCAUCCAACUCAGUGCCCUCCAUCAUUUUCUGAGAAAAUAUAAUCCCAGAUAGAGGAUUCCUGAUCUGCC